rnacentral:misc_RNA from 1 species
UAUACAGUGAUUAAAUCACUUUUGUUUUCUGUUUACCUCGUAUGACAUUGAUAUGAGUUUCCUUGAUCAAGCUGAAAUUCCAAGAAACAAGUUUUUCCUGAAAGUCUGGUUUCAUGAACGCAGUAUUGAAAAUAGUCGUUUGAUAUUAUCAUGUGUUUAGACAUGUUAUUAUUCAUCAAUUGAUACUUGAUUAUCUGAUCUUUUAACUAAUGUAUUGAAAAACUGCGCAGUUUGAAGAUACAUCGCGAAAGAUACACACGCAUAUUGUCGAAACGAAUGGUAAUCGGGUGAAUCACACAUAUACAUUUUUAUCAUAAAUUUUAACGACACAUAAUGGUGGCUUUAUAAAAAAGAAAUAGCAUUUUGGAGAUUAGUUUUAGCUCACACAAUAAAUUAUAAAUGAUUGUCUUGAAACAUAAAUUUUACUAUGAUAUACACGGUAAAACAAAACACAUAAGACAGUCAAUGUGUCAAUUAUUGUUGACUAUUUUGGUUUGACUUUUCGAAAUUUCAAAUGUGCAUGAAAAGGCUUGCUGCCGUGGAUGAUACUUUGGAAAAACUGGGCAGUCCAAAAAUAUAUCGAAGGAUGCAUAUGUUAUCGAAACGAAUGAUAAUCGGGUGGAUUGUGUACACUUUUGUCUCAAACUUUUACGAUACAUACUGGUGGCUUAAAAAAGAAAAAGCACCUUGGGGAUUAAUUUUAGGGCUGAUAUUAAAUUUUUGUUUUCAUAUUAAUACAUUUGAGGAUUUAUUGUUUCUCUUCCUUUUAUGGUAUAUAGGCACAAGAUUUGAUAAGGUGAAUAAGAAUGUGCGAUGUUUAUUGAUAAAAGAAAAUCACGAACUAAGAUGUACAUGGAAGAAAUCUACAGUCUCCCUACAUCGAUAUGUGAAUUACAAACAAACGUUGUGGACUUCAAUGCUAACAAAAUUGGCAAAGUAAUUCAUCAACUGACAAACAGUCUUCGAUAUACUGACGUUUCAAAAGAGAUUUGUCAAUUCGCUUUACAAACAAUGCAACAUCCGUUAAAGUUCAAUGGAAUGAAUCUUUUCUGUUUUGGCAACGUGUUUCUUCAAAAGUUUUGCACAAUGAUUGUAACAUUUGUAAUCAUUACGAUACAGGUGAAUAUUUAUGUUAAUUUACCAUAUUUUACAACUUAAAAGGUAAUAAUGAAAAUAAUAGCUCACUAAAA